rnacentral:rRNA from 1 species
UACAGAGGGUGCAAGCGUUAAUCGGAAUUACUGGGCGUAAAGCGUGCGUAGACGGUUAUGUAAGUCGGGUGUGAAAGCCCCGGGCUCAACCUGGGAAUUGCAUCCGAAACUGCCUUGCUAGAGUAUGGGAGAGGGAAGUGGAAUUUCCGGUGUAGCGGUGAAAUGCGUAGAUAUCGGAAGGAACAUCAGUGGCGAAGGCGACUUCCUGGACCAAUACUGACGCUCAGGUGCGAAAGCGUGGGGAGCAAACAGG